GAUGGUUGGAUGGUAUUAUUGAUUCGAUGGACGUGAGUUUGAGUGAAUUUCGGGAGUUGGUGAUGGAUAGGGAGGUUUGGCGUGUUGCGAUUUAUGGGGUCGUAAAGAGUCGGAUACGAUUGAGCGAUUUUAUUUUUAUUUUUUAUUUUUAGGGAUCGUUUGGUUUAAAUGAAUUUCACAAAAAUUUAUAGAAUUCAAUUGAAUUUUAUGUACCAUAUUAUUUGCUUUGUAAAAAUUUUAAGUUCGAAUUUCAGAAUUUAGAUCAAUGACUCAUUAAAUUUAAUGAAAUUUGAAAUGAAUUUUAAAAAAAAUUAAAACAAUAUUUCUAUUUUUACUAAAAUGCCCAUGUAUUUCUCCCAAACAAAUCUUCACUCUCUCACUCUCUCUUAACUUCCUCUCCCCCUUCUUUCUCUUAUCUUUCACUCCCUCUCCCUCCUAUCUCUCUCUCACACUCGCUCCUACCUUUCUCUAGCACCAUGUACUUAGGUGAUAGACAUUAUUUAUGUGUUUAAAUAGACCUCCCAUUUAUAUUAUUUUGGAAGUCUCAUUUGAAAUGAAUUCUAAGUUUGUAUUUGAUUUGAACCAAACACUAUGUUAUAUGUAUCUUUUUUGUUUGUUUGGCUUAGAAGGUCUAAUUAGAUCAUAAUUUUUCUGGGCUUAAUUUAUAUAUGUCAAUUUUCUUUUCUUUUUUUAUUGUUUGGUGGGUUCCCUUUCUUCGUAUUUCUUAAGGAAAGAAUGCCCAAUAGGAAAUGCAGAAGUGCAUAUUCUAAAUUCUUGUACUGUUUUCAUGAGUGGCUUGAAUUUGUGAAAAUUAUUGUGCUGUUUUCAUGGCGAACAUGUGCAGUAAAUAUUUUGCCGGGCUGUUUGUGUCAAGUAUAAUGGCAAAGUGAAGUUUUUCACAUUUGGCUUCACUUUUGGCAUAUAAGGCCUUGUUUUUCAAUAAGUCUUGCAGAUAAAAUUUUAUUAAGUGAUCCACCCAAUACUUGAUUGGGAUUUUAAAGGACCUAUUAGCAUUGGCGUUGAUUGAUUUGAAGCCUUAUAUUAGCAUUGGCAUUGAUUGAUUUGGAGCCUUAUUUUAAUCUAACAAUUGUGGGUCUAUACUUCUUGUUAUCCUCUGGUUGGAGAGUUUAUGAUAUGGAAAUCAAGUAAAAUCUUUUGUUUCGUAAUUCUGUUUAAUUUUAAGUUUAAACUUAUGGAUUUUUAGUGAGAGCCAUUAUUUCUGGUUUUUAAAUCUAUUAUCCUCGAGCAGUCUGUAAAAUGCAUGGGCAACAUUUUAUGUGUACUUACAGCCACCGGUAGUUUUGCUUUCUUUAUUAAUUUUAUUUAUAAUAAUUGGCUGCAUUUCUUUCUCACUUAAUCCUUCAUUUAUCUCUAAAACAGCUUGAAAUCUUGGAAGCUGUAGCUUGGAAGGAAAUGGAUGGAGAUUCGUUUUGUGGGGAGGAUGACAAUUUUGACUGGGGCAGUGAAGAUGAGCGAGAAAUUGAAAAUUAUGGAUUGUCUUCUUCAUCAAGUCUCACAGUUCCAGGUGCAGAAGCUACAGCAAGCUCAGCUGAGGCAAGCUCAUCAGUAGGUUCUUCUGGUUCCAAGUUGAUAGACCAUUUUGUAGGGAUGGGAUUUCCUCAAAAAAUGGUUGCUGAAGCAAUUCAGGAAAAUGGAGUGGAAAACACUGAUUUGAUACUUGAAACUCUUCUUAAAUGCUCGGCAAGAUCAUCUGCUGGCUCUUCUGGCUCCAAGUUGAUUGAUCACUUUAUUGGGAUGGGAUUUGAUGCAGAAAUGGUUGCCAAAGCAAUUCAGGAAAAUGGAGAGGGAAAUACAGAUACAAUUUUGGAAACUCUCCUCACAUACUCGGCGAUUGAAAAAUCUCCUAAAGAACAGCAGCAAGUCGAUUCUGAUCACUGGUCUUCAGAUUAUGAUGGGAGCUUUCUGGAUGAUUUUUCUGACAUAGAUAGCUCUGAAAGUGAGGUAGCAAAUCUUUUUGGCCAUAUUAGUUACUUGGAUGGUUGCCUAUGGAUUUGUAGACAUAAUCACUUACUGAACUCAAUAUAUCCUUGUUUAACUUGUUUGAAGUUUGAACUCCUGAAUCUUGUACUGAUGUUUGUUUCCUACUUGCCCAGACGACGACAAGCUUCAAAUUUUCUGCUAAUGUGUGCACUUGUGCAUAUAGUAUAGUUACUAUACUUGCAAAUUUCUUUUGAGGUGUAUGAAGAAAUGACAUUUUAUUCUUGGAAUUCCAUCCAAAUUUUUAGUGUUCUACUUCAUCUGUCUGUCAGGCAAUUGCAAAAUCUGAGCCUAAACAAGGGAACACUUUGGUUUUUUUAUCAAGGAUGGGCUACACAGUAGAGGAGGCUUCAAUAGCAAUGGAGCGAUGUGGACCAGAUGCCACAAUUGCAGAACUUACAGAUUUCAUCUGUGCUGCUCAAAUGGCAAAGGCAGCUGAUGCGUCCUUUCCAGAAGAAAAGCCAAAGCUCAAACUUUUUGAUGACAAUUAUCCUAAACACAAGAAGAGGAGUUAUUAUGAAUAUGAUAAGUGGAAAAAGAAGCAGCGUUUGAGAUUGGAGAAGAGGAUGCUUCAAGGAGAUGAUGAGAUGAUUCGUCUCCCAAAUCCAAUGAUUGGAUUUGGGGUCCCCACUGAUCCUGCUAUUGUAACUCGUAGAACACUACCAGAAGCUGCCAUUGGACCUCCCUAUUUUUACUAUGAGAAUGUAGCACUUGCUCCUAAAGGUGUUUGGAGCACUAUUUCACGGUUUUUAUAUGAUGUGGAACCAGAAUUUGUGGAUUCAAAAUAUUUCUGUGCUGCUGCAAGAAAAAGGGGCUAUGUUCACAAUCUUCCUAUUCAAAACAGAUUUCCCCUUCUUCCGCUUCCUCCACACACCGUACAUGAAGCACUACCUUUGACAAAGAAAUGGUGGCCUUCAUGGGACACAAGGACAAAACUAAAUUGCUUGCAGACUUGCAUUGGGAGUGCAAAACUGACAGAUAGGAUCCGCAAAGCCAUUGAGGACUAUGAAGGAGAUCCACCUUUGUCAGUCCAGAAGUUUGUUCUUGAUGAAUGCCGUAAAUGGAAUCUGGUAUGGGUGGGCAGGAAUAAAGUUGCUCCACUUGAACCAGAUGAAGUAGAAAUGCUUUUGGGUUUCCCUAGGAACCAUACCAGGGGUGGUGGAAUAAGUAGGACUGAUAGAUAUAAAUCACUUGGUAACUCAUUCCAGGUGAGAUUAUUAUGUAUUUUGUAAAAUCUCUAUCUGUCAAAUCUCCUCUGCAUAUUGCUCAAUUUUGCAUGAGUUAUUCCUUUCUUACUAAUAAUUCUUCAAUAAUCUUCAAUGCUUUAUUUUUGCUGUUUUUCCCCCUUCAGUAGAUCUGCCAAAAUUGUAUCAUGUUUGUGAAUUUUUCUGAAUUCCUUCUUGCAUAUGCCAUAGGUUGAUACUGUUGCCUAUCAUCUGUCAGUUUUGAAAGACUUGUUCCCUGGGGGAAUCAAUCUUCUUUCUCUUUUCUCUGGGAUUGGUGGUGCAGAAGUUGCACUUCAUCGGCUGGGUAUUCGAUUGAAGAACGUUGUUUCUGUUGAGAUCUCAGAAGUAAACAGAAAUAUUAUGAGAUGCUGGUGGGAGCAAACCAAUCAGACAGGGAACUUGAUUGACAUUGUGGAUGUGCAACAACUGAAUGCUGACCGAUUAGAGCAGUUGAUGAGCUCAUUUGGCGGAUUUGAUCUUGUUAUUGGCGGGAGUCCUUGCAAUAAUCUUGCAGGCAGCAACCGACACCACCGUGAUGGGCUGGAGGGUAAAGAAUCCUCUCUUUUCUUUGAUUUCUGUCGCAUUCUAGACUUGGUCAAGUGUAUUAUGACUAGAAAUUGAUGAAUCUGAUUUUCUGGUACCUGUACUGAAUUGAGAUUUCUCACAUCAAUUUCAAUUUUUUUCCUGGGUUAAAUAUUGAUACAAUGGUUAACAAUUAAAGCAAGUUUAUUUAAUGGUGAUUCAAUUCUUGGAAUAGAG
rnacentral:misc_RNA from 1 species